rnacentral:tRNA from 1 species
GGAGAGGUGGCAGAGUGGUCGAAUGUACCUGACUCGAAAUCAGGCGUACCGCAAGGUACCGAGGGUUCGAAUCCCUCCCUCUCCUCCA